rnacentral:rRNA from 1 species
UACGUAGGGCGCAAGCGUUAUCCGGAAUUAUUGGGCGUAAAGAGCUCGUAGGCGGUUUGUCGCGUCUGCCGUGAAAGUCCGGGGCUCAACUCCGGAUCUGCGGUGGGUACGGGCAGACUAGAGUGAUGUAGGGGAGACUGGAAUUCCUGGUGUAGCGGUGAAAUGCGCAGAUAUCAGGAGGAACACCGAUGGCGAAGGCAGGUCUCUGGGCAUUAACUGACGUUGAGGAGCGAAAGCAUGGGGAGCGAACAGG